UUCACAAAUAUGGGAACAUUAUUUAAAGGGUAAAUCUCCAACACUAUCCUUUAAAACAUCACAAAGUCCUUGUCUGCAAUAUCUGAAUAUAUAUACUUUGCAAAAUUGUUCACAGAUAUCCAACCCUUAAACACGAAUAAAGAAUAAAACAAGUAAUGUACUGAUAUGUGCUUUUUUUUUCACCUGCAGCUCAUUCAUUAGCAUCUCCUCACCAAAAAAACUGCAGUGACAUCACUAGUAAUUUAACACUUAUAUCACUUCUUCCCUUUUUAUUGAUUCACACAUGUACCAUUUACUUGCCACCUUACUGAUUUUAUAAAGCCAUGUCCCUUUGUUGCUACUAUGCCAUCUUCCCUGCCUUUUUUAUUUAUUUAUUUAAUUCGUUCAGAAUUGUUCAGAAUUUAUCACCUUCCCAUUGACACUUGAAUAUAGAAACUGCUGCCCUCAAGAGGUUGUAAAUGGUAGUUUCCCACCUAAUUUACAAAGGUCCAACCACUAGUUUGUUUUCCCCUUCCUGUCUGCUUCAGAGCUGCUGCAGUAAACUUCAUCUUAAAUGUUGUGUGGAGGGAAGCGUUUAUUUUGAAGUGUUUUAAUUACAAUUAACAACAACAACCACAACAACAUGAAGAUCAUUCAGCUUCAAAUCUAAUCAAUUCAGCUAACUGAGUGUCACAAUCAUACAGUGAUUGAGUUUAUUGAUCAGAAUCAGAAACAAUGUCAGAUUAUCAUCAUCAUAUCUGCUCUGAUGAUCGGGCUUCUGCUCAUUGUGCUGAUCGUGUUUGCUGUUGGAAAAACAGAACGGAUGGAAAAACACAUUGAUGAUGUUGAUCUACUGCAGACACGAGUGAUAUAUCAGCUUCAAGAUUAAAACUGAUUUAACAUCACAAUAAAAUAAAUUAUGUGUCAGUUCUGUGACUAUAUAACAUGUUCAUAAAUAACAUGCAGUUUAUCAUGUGCUUAAUAUACUUAUUAUAUGCUUUUUGUGUUUGCUCAUCUGCAAUAUGUCAGAAAUUUCCUGUCAGAUAUUAAAUAGACAUUUUAAAAAAUGUCUUUAAGAUGUUAAUGAUUUAAAAUGUAAAAUAAGAUCUAUUUUAUAUACAUGAUGUAAGAUGUUUUUUCCAGAUUAAGUGCGCUUUAGCAGACAUCUUAGAGAUGUACCUGAUCUGAACGUGAUUCAAGGCCCUGAUAUACUCAUGGCGAAUUUCUUUUUCGUUCUUCACUUAGAAGCAAUCUUUUAUAUUUUAGUUUGUGUUGGAGUCUGUGUGGUGUUGAGCGUUUGUUGACAUUAGUGAACUCAAUCUAUAAGCUAACAUUAGCUAGAAUUGCAUACAGUGGGUGCAUCUUAAUCAGCUCCUGAGUGCACUGAUCAGGGAGUCAGACAUUUUAUGGGCUGUCCUAAUUUCAAAAAGCUAUCAGUGCACUGAAACGUUCACUCCCUAAAAAGUCCCACAAUGCACCUUGAAAACCAGGAAGCAUCGAUGCUCACUAUGGGUGCUUCUCAAACGGAAGGCAGCAUCCUAGUGAAGCCGUGUUUUUCUUAGUCCUUUCGAGGCUUGUAGGCUAGACUCCUCAACAUUUUAAGGAUCCUUCAAAUUGAGACAGGCUUCAGCGGCACUUGAUGACGUGGUAGCCGAGAUAUGCAGCCUUACAAGGAUGUAGCCUUCUGUUUAACAUUAACAAAGAUUAUUAAAUGCUGUAGAAGUAUGUAGUUAACUAAUGUUAAUGAACCUUAUUGUAAAGUGUUACCCAAGUAACAAGCUAGAGCUUCGGCGAUUCCAGAGAAGUACGACACGUUUGUCCAAACAGUGUUUCAUUCAGCAUUCAUUAACACUAUUUUUUCAAGUAUCGUAACUCUUCCUCAUGUCAGUGUGCCAAGUGCACCUCGAUGACAUCAGACAAAAGUGACGUCAACAACAGCCUCAUGAAAUGAUCAGACAAUUAACGAAAUAUCAGGAAUCCUGAGUAUAUAAGAGAGAAAUUGACUGUCACGUGAUUUACAGGGAAUGUUUGCAUAUUGGCUGAUGACCUUCUGAAUCUUCACCAUUAAUUAACCAUAACUUAUAAUGCUUUUGCUGCCAGUCUUUUUAUCAACAAUGAUUUGUUUGUCUGUAAUUUUGUUCAUCAGUAAAAAAGCACCCCAUGACUUUCAAAGAUCUAGAAACAGUGAUCAUUAAAAUAAAGAUGAAUGAUUUAAU